GGAGUUUAUUGUUCGUCGUGUAAUACUUUCAAAGUCACCUGCUCAACAAAAAGAAUUUUCUGAACUUCAAAUAGACAAGAUAUUAAUUUUGUCUUUGCGCUACAGAGAUAACCAUAUGAUUGCCAGUCUUUCUAUAAACAGCCAAAAAACAUACACUAAUGUGUCCUCACGGUUCAACCAUAUUAAAUUUGACAUAGGAGCAAAGAAUGAUAGUUCAUAUGCGAUACAUUUAAGGCUUAAAGAUGUGGAACAGAUAGCAAAUGACUCGUUUGAAUGUGUUGCACAGGUCAUUAAAGGAGGUAGAAUGGAACAAGAGAAACAACAAGUUUAUAUUGAAAGUGAUGAUGUCUGUCGUGACGUUUCCACUGUGAAGUUUAACCAUACCUCAAGUAAGUUUUUUUUUCUAGUAGCUAAUUACAUUAAGUGAAAUCUUCAAACAUCUAGAU
rnacentral:sRNA from 1 species